rnacentral:rRNA from 1 species
UAUGAAGGGUGCAAGCGUUACUCGGAAUUACUGGGCGUAAAGCGUGCGUAGGUGGUUUGUUAAGUCUGAUGUGAAAGCCCUGGGCUCAACCUGGGAAUUGCAUUGGAUACUGGCAGGCUAGAGUGCGGUAGAGGGUAGUGGAAUUCCCGGUGUAGCAGUGAAAUGCGUAGAGAUCGGGAGGAACACCAGUGGCGAAGGCGACUACCUGGACCAGCACUGACACUGAGGCACGAAAGCGUGGGGAGCAAACAGG